rnacentral:rRNA from 1 species
ACGGGUGAGUAACGCGUGGGAACGUACCUUGGUUCGGAACAACACAGGGAAACUUGUGCUAAUACCGGAUAAGCCCUUACGGGGAAAUUUAUCGCCGAAAGAUCGGCCCGCGUCUGAUUAGCUAGUUGGUGAGGUAACGGCUCAAAGGCGACGAUCAGUAGCUGGUCUGAGAGGAUGAUCAGCCACAUUGGGACUGAGACACCCCCAAACUCCUACGGGAGGCAGCCAGUGGGGGAAAUAUUGGACAAUGGGGCGCCAAGCUGAUCCCAGCCCAUGCCGCGUGAGUGAUGAAGGGCCCUAGGGUUGUAAAAGCUCUUUUGCGGGAAAGAUAAAUGACGGUACCGCAAGAAAUAAGCCCCCGGCUAACUUCGUGCCCCAGCCGCGGUAAUACGAAGGGGGCUAGCGUUGCCCGGAAUCACUGGGCGUAAAGGGUGUAGGCGGGUCUUUAAGUCAGGGGUGAAAUCCUGGAGCUCAACUCCAGAACUGCCUUUGACUGAAGAUCUUGAGUUCGGGAGAGGUGAGUGGAACUGCGAGUGUAGAGGUGAAAUUCAGAUAUUCGCAAGAACACCUAGUGGCGAAGGCGGCUCACUGGCCCGAUACUGACGCUGGCACGAAAGCGUGGGGAGCAAACAGGAUUAGAUACCCUGGUAGUCCACGCCCUAAACGGUCAACUGGUUGUUGGGUGCAUUAGUACUCAGUAACGAAGCUAACGCGUGAAGUGACC